CAGGACGAACGCUGGCGGCGUGCUUAACACAUGCAAGUCGAACGGGGAUAUAUCCGGAAGGGCUCGGUUGGAAGGAUGUAUUCGAGUGGCGGACGGGUGAGUAACGCGUGAGCAACCUGUCCCAGACAGGGGGAUAACACUUGGAAACAGGUGCUAAUACCGCAUAAGACCACGGUAUCGCAUGGUACAGGGGUAAAAGGUGUAAACCGGUUUGGGGUGGGCUCGCGUCCGAUUAGAUAGUUGGUGAGGUAACGGCCCACCAAGUCGACGAUCGGUAGCCGACCUGAGAGGGUGAUCGGCCACAUUGGAACUGAGAGACGGUCCAAACUCCUACGGGAGGCAGCAGUGGGGAAUAUUGGGCAAUGGGCGAAAGCCUGAACCCCAGCAACGCCGCGUGAGUGAAGAAGGCUUUCGGGUUGUAAAGCUCUGUUAUAGGGGACGAAGAGCGUGACGGUACCCUAUAAGGAAGCCCCGGCUAACUACGUGCCAGCAGCAGC
rnacentral:rRNA from 1 species